rnacentral:rRNA from 1 species
UACGAAGGGGGCUAGCGUUGCUCGGAAUUACUGGGCGUAAAGCGCACGUAGGCGGAUUGUUAAGUCGGGGGUGAAACCCUGGAGCUCAACUCCAGAACUGCCUUCGAUACUGGCGAUCUCGAGUUCGGGAGAGGUGAGUGGAACUGCGAGUGUAGAGGUGAAAUUCGUAGAUAUUCGCAAGAACACCAGUGGCGAAGGCGGCUCACUGGCCCGAUACUGACGCUGAGGCGCGAAAGCGUGGGGAGCAAACAGG